GUCGUGUUGUUUACUUGCACUGCUUGUUUUGGUGUCAAUUAUUGAAUCAGAAAGCAGAGUGGCUAGGAAGGAUUUGGGUUUGGACCUUGGUGGAUUGGGAAUUGGACUUGGUGCAGGAGUUGGUUUAGGAAUUGGAGGUGGCAGUGGCUCUGGAGCCGGAGCUGGUGCAGGCUCUGGUUCUGGUUCUAGCUCUUCCUCAAGUUCAUCGUCCUCUUCGUCUUCUAGUUCUGG
rnacentral:lncRNA from 1 species